rnacentral:tRNA from 1 species
GGGGCGGUAGGCUAAUGGUAGACCACCUGUCCCCUAAACAGAUACUGCGGGUUCGAAUCCCGUCCGCUCCA